rnacentral:snoRNA from 1 species
CCCCUGGAUGAUGAUCAACUGAUCUCUCACAUCCUUGCGGGGCUCGACAUGGAGUACCAGCCGCUGGUCUCGGCGCUGGAUGCUCACAAUUUUGACCAGAGGGUGGCGCUCUACCGCGACAACGACAACGGCUUCAAGU